CCUACGGGAGGCAGCAGUGGGGAAUAUUGGGCAAUGGGCGAAAGCCUGACCCAGCGACGCCGCGUGCGGGAUGAAGGCCUUCGGGUUGUAAACCGCUUUCAGCAGGGAAGAAGCGAAAGUGACGGUACCUGAAGAAGAAGCACCGGCUAACUACGUGCCAGCAGCCGCGGUAAUACGUAGGGUGCGAGCGUUAAUCGGAAUUACUGGGCGUAAAGCGUGCGCAGGCGGUUUGAUAAGACAGGCGUGAAAUCCCCGGGCUUAACCUGGGAACUGCGCUUGUGACUGUCUCACUAGAGUACGGCAGAGGGGGGUGGAAUUCCACGUGUAGCAGUGAAAUGCGUAGAGAUGUGGAGGAACACCGAUGGCGAAGGCAGCCCCCUGGGCCGAUACUGACGCUCAUGCACGAAAGCGUGGGGAGCAAACAGGAUUAGAUACCCUGGUAGUCCACGCCCUAAACGAUGUCAACUAGGUGUUGGGUGGGUAAAACCAUUUAGUACCGUAGCUAACGCGUGAAGUUGACCGCCUGGGGAGUACGGCCGCAAGGUUAAAACUCAAAGGAAUUGACGG
rnacentral:rRNA from 1 species